rfam:Triticum aestivum genome assembly, contig: Triticum_aestivum_CS42_TGACv1_scaffold_290729_4AL
GUUCUACUCCCUCCGUCCGAAAAUACUUGUCAUCAAAAUGGAUAAAAAGGGAUGUAUCUAGAACUAAAAUACAUCUAGAUACAUCCCCUUUUAUUCAUUUUGAUGACAAGUAUUUCCGGACGGAGGGAGUACAAU